AUCGCUUCUCGGCCUUUUGGCUAAGAUCAAGUGUAGUAUCUGUUCUUAUCAGUUUAAAAUCAUGCUCAACAUGAAGCCUUAUGAUGUGCAGUUUAAAAAGAGAAAUGAGUCCAA
rnacentral:snRNA from 1 species